rnacentral:lncRNA from 1 species
UGCAGAGCCCAGGCGCGUGGGUCGGUGUCGGGUGUGUGUGUACGUCUGUGUGUGUAAUGAAACUGGACGCCUUCCUUCCCGGCGAUCUUGACUUAACCUGUCAGCAGAGGGCUUGAGGUUAGACCACAGGUUGAACCUAGGUGGCUGCUGGAGAGGCCUUGAAAUCAUGGCAGCAGCAAGACCCAACUGGGGCAGCAUCAUGUCUGGGUUUGAAUCCCGGUUCAGCCACUUUCCAGCUGUGUGAUGUGGGGCAAGUCAGGCUCAGAUCCCACCAGGACUGCAACCCUUAGCCCUGUCUGGUCUCCCCUGCAACCCUUGAGGCCACCCUGGAGGCUCAGCCAUCCAUUCACCCCAGAAAGAAGCUGGAAGCUCAAGCCUGACUAUAGGACCAGCACAGCCCCUGGCCAGCCGCAUGCUGCAGAGGCUCUGGCUGACUGUCUCUGCUCGCCUGUUCUGUUGUUUGCAUGUUCUCAGAAUAGGAGACCCCUAAAGACAGAAACUGCAUGUGUCCUGCGCAGGAAAUCUUGUAUUGGUGGAGAAACAGAAGCCUGGAGAUGCUGAGUAACUUGCCCAUAGUCUCACAGCUGACAAGUGGCCAAGAAGGAUUCAAACACAUGUGUGCUGGCUCCAGUGGCUCCAGAAGUCUGAAACACUCUGUCUUCCUGCUUUGAGGACAGCUGAAGUCUUGCCACUUCUUCUGGAUGCUCUGACCAUCAGUAAGAGACACGGUCUGACUUUGUUACCCCGGCUGGAGUGCAGUGGUGCAAUCAUGGCUCACUGCAGCCUUAACCUCCUGGGCUCAAGUGAUCCUCUCGCCAAGGCUAGGAUAAGUAGCUAGGACUACAGAUGCGCCCCAUCACGCCCAGCUAAUUUUACAACUUCUGUAGAGAUGGAGUGUUGCUGGGUUGCCCAGGCUGGUCUUGAAUUCCUGGGCUCAAGCGAUCCUCCUGUGUCCGGAAUUGGUGGGUUCUUGGUCUCACUGACUUCAAGAAUGAAGCCGCGGACCCUCGCGGUGAGUGUUACAGUUCUUAAAGACAGCGUGUCCAGAGUUUGUUCCUUCUGAUGUUCAGAUGUGUUCAGAGUUUCUUCCUUCUGGUGGGUUCGUGGUCUCGCUGGCUUAGGGGUGAAGCUGCAGACCUUCGCGGUGAGUGUUACAGUUCUUAGGGCGGCGCGUCUGGAGUUGUCUGUUCCUCCCGGUGGGCUCGUAGUCUCGCUGGCUUCAGGAGUGAAGCUGCAGACCUUCGCGGUGAGUGUUACAGCUCAUAAAGGCAGCGUGGACCUACAGAGUGAGCAGUAGCAAGAUUUAUUGCAAAGAGCAAAAGAACAAAGCUUCCACAGCGUGGAAAGGGAUCCCAGC